AAAGGAUGGUUAGUAGUGGGUCCAGGUCGAUGUCCAGAAGUAAUUCUAGAAUUAAUUCCAUACCACUGGUCCUGCCCCAUGCUGCCUCACUUGGUAUCACUCAGCAGACUUUUCUGGGCAUGGUGUCAUUUUAAGCAAUGGAAAUGGACUGGCUGGCUCCUCAGUUGGUUGAAGUAAGUCUGGAGAGAUCAGCUUUUACAGUUCCUGUCUUGCUUAGCAUAUGUUUUAUUUAUUUAUUUAUUUUGAGAUGGAGUCUCACUCUGUCACCCAGAUUGGAAUGCAGUGGCAUGAUCUCAGCUCACUGCAACCUCCACAUCCCAGGUUCAAGUGAUUCAGCCUCCCGAGUAGCUGGGACUACAGGCAUGCACCACCAAGCCUGGCUAAUUUUUUGUAUUUUUAGUAGAGAUGGGGCUUCACCACACUGGCCAGGCUGGUCCCGAACUCCUGGCCUCAAAUGAUCUGUCUGUCUUGGCCUCCCAAACUGCUGGGAUUACAGGCAUGAGCUACCGUGCCCGGUGCAUAUGUUUUAUUCAAAGGAAGACCAGAAGAGAUCUGAG
rnacentral:lncRNA from 1 species